ensembl:snoRNA
UUAUAAAAAGAGAAUAUCAAGUAGCAACUUGGAAGAAGACCUGGCAUGCCUAAGGUCUUUGGGAAACAGAGGAUACUUGAUUUCUUUUACCUUCCUUUGCCUACAUGCAUAU